UACGUAGGGUGCGAGCGUUAAUCGGAAUUACUGGGCGUAAAGUGUGCGCAGGCGGCCAAGUGUGUUAGGCGUGAAAGCCCGGGGCUUAACCCCGGAAUUGCACCUAAAACUACAUGGCUAGAGCAUUGGAGAGGGUAGCGGAAUUCACGGUGUAGCAGUGAAAUGCGUAGAUAUCGUGAGGAACACCAGAGGCGAAGGCGGCUACCUGGACAAUUGCUGACGCUCAGGCACGAAAGCGUGGGGAGCAAAAGAG
rnacentral:rRNA from 1 species